AAAUUGAAUUCUCCCUCAAGUUUAGGCAUGACUGUUAUGAAUUAAGAUUUGCUCUAAACCUGAACUUGUGGGAAGAGUACUUGAUCUAAAGUCUAAGUCGUUAACGGAUAUGAUAUGGGAAGGUUGAGCUGCUAUUUAUCUACUCCUAGAGAUGCUAGAAUUCUGGAGAAUUUUAUCUUUGAAAAUCUUUAAAAUGUUGCAUGAUGAGUUCCUCUAUGAUGAGAGUUUAAAAUCCUACCAUAGCCAUAUAUACAUGCUUAUUAGACUAUGAACCAUACAUUUACUUUUUACUGCUUAUGAGCAUUGAGUGUGGUCAAGCUGUGUAGACCCUUAGGAGUUUGUCAUGUGGUUAAAAUCAAGAUUCACUUGCACGUUCACUCAUACAUGCUGCUUCUACUCCGGAAGUAUGCAUCCACAUACAUCCACUCCUUUCCAUCUCAAGAUUCACCCAAAAUUAUUCUACACCUAAUCCGGGAGAGAAUAGCCAAAAACAUUCUCCUAUUUCUAUUUUUCUCUAUGAAAUAAAUGCUCGAGAUAUUUUGGUUACUACCACUUGCUACAUUAUUCUAGGAGGGUGAGUGCUCUGAAAAAAAGUGAAUACGAGGAAAUAAAAAGGGGCAAGUGCCCGGAACCUCGAAGAAAAGAAAAAGUGAGACGAGAGGUAAAAAUGGACAAGUGUCCGAGAGUAGAAUUAGGGGUGCAAGAUACCCACCUGAGAGAAAAGAAAAAGAAAAUAUAGAGCAUCUCAUUCCCCUCAAAAUGUUUCAAAGUGCAAGAAAGGUAUGUAUCCCCUCAAAAGAGCAAAAGUAGAAUUAGACUUUCACCAUUGUUUUCACCAUUAUCACCAUCAUCACCAUACACCAUUCAUUCACCACACAUGCACAUCUUGAUUUGACUUAUUGACUUGUUUCUCUGGAUCCAUGGUUUGACUAUGCAAUAAAUGUCUUGUAAGUAUGUAUUAGCUAUCUCCCACCUAUGAGCUCCAAAUAUCAAAACCUUAUUAGAGUAGGGUGAGAGAGAAGGCAAUGUCACUAUGCCUCAUACCAAAAAUACCACAUACUUCGAGAGAAGGCAUAUACCAUCACUGCCUUGGUGAGGAUCCAGAAAUACCACAAAAGAGAGAAUUGAUAGAGUCAUACAAGGAAUCUCUGAGUUUUAUUUGAAAAUCUGCAAAAACUCCAGAGCUAUAGUUGAUCAAGAACAAGAGACAUGGUGCUUGACUUGACCAUUCUAUCUUUGAACUGCUCAAGACAUAAGUGACGGUUGCAAGCCCCAUGGUGAAAGGUAAAAUGAGUAAGUGUUAAGUCUUAACAGUUUACCCUAACCUAGAGAUGAGAUCUUGUUUGAACACAUGCAUACCUUUAAGGCAUGAAACCACUGCGGAAACUCUUGAGUCCAUCCUUGCUCAGGGACGAGCAAGUGGUAAGCUUGGGGGAGUUAUUGACGGUCGUUAAGUACCAAAUAUAAUCAUCAAACAAAUAAAGAAAAGGAUCCAAAUACAACCAACACCCAAACUUAGGGUUUUAUCUGAUAGAAUUCCACGAGUUUUGGUGUUUGUCUAUUUCUACAGGGGGUUAUCAGGAAAUAUGGAGGAAAAGCCCACAUGUCUGGUUUACAUAGAGAUAUUAAUGUGCCGCGCAAUUUUCUAUCAUUUAGAAGACUCCAGAAGCCAUGGGAACGAACAGGAAGGUGAUCGGGCCCGGGGGCAGGGUGCCCGCCAUCCACCCUAGGGCGCCCGCCCCGAGUUAGAGUCCAAUCAGGACCUGUCUCACGGAUUACGCUCUACCAACCUAAAGGAUCAAGGAUAACUGUUCAAUCAAUGUUGAUUUGAUCCGACGGCCCAGAUUCACUUGAGGGGACUAUAUAAGCAGACCCCCUGGCCCCUGGAGAAGAACAAGUUCAUUGUAGAGUUGAGAGGUGCCCUCAAAGGAUAACCUUUCCUCUACAUAGACAGAGCAAAAGCUAGGGUUUGGAGAUGUGAGCUCUCCUCUCAUCUCUAAACUAGAAUAGAUCUAGAUAGUAGCGAGAUGGAGAGUGAGGGAGGAUGGAGGAGAGGACGGCCUGUCGGUUCUUCCUCCGGUUGUACUUCGCCAUGAUCAAGUUCUAAUCAAGCUUGCUCAUGGGAUGACUCUGGUAAUCUACUUCUAUUUCAUUAUGAAAUUACUAUUCAUGUAUGCUCUGGUUCACAACUCUUUUGAAUACUUUUAAUCUAUAGGACCCUAUAGGUUAGAGUUGUAGUAUAGGUGUAAGCGUGGUGCUUAGACCUAGAUUACUUGUGGAUAUCCCAUGUCCAGCUGGAUCGUGUGGUAGGCCGCGUAGGUGACAGUUACGUUGGUCCCCUGUAGUCCACCUCCUGUUAGCAGGACGGGUAGGGUUUAUCGGCCUAUGGAUAAGCAUCCUUUGUGGUGUAUUCUUAUCACGUGGUUUGUCCCAGACAUAGACAUACCCCUUUGAAGUAGAGAAACCAUAGUUAUCCUCUCUAUUCUCCUACCAUCGCCCAUAUACUAGAUUGCUCUACUCUCUGUUCCCAUAUUAUCGCCCAUUGUUAUCUUACCUUUAAUAUUGUUCUUAUUCAAUUCUACCAUCUUUCCUAUCUACACCUAUCUAUCUAUCUUGGUUAAGUUAGAGCGUAGUUGGUUCUCCCGUUUCCCUGUGGAUACGAUAAAACCUUUAACCGGGUAAAAGCUACAAUGGUAUCCGUGCGCUUGCGGAUUUAUCUAUGUGCGUAUAAAUACCAUAGUACACUCUAGUGCCAUGCUGGGGAUGACAACCUAGUAUUCAAGUGGUGUUAGCAAGUGUCAACAGAGGGGGCCAGCAAGAUGUCCCUGGCGAUUGUUUUAGAGCAAUGGUUGUUGACGAUGAAUUUGUUGCCCUACAGAUAUGUUGUUCUGCGUGUGACCUGCAUUGGGUUGAAUGUAGGAGUGAGGAUAUUUGCACAAAUUUUCUUUGAAAUUCAGUGGUUACAUUUUCUACAGAGAACGAAUCAUGCUCCUUCCCUUCCAGCAAAUGUAAAUGGAAUUAGUGUGAUUAGAUUUGCCUUGUUUUGCUUGGAGACGUUUGUGUUCUCUAUUUUGAUGGUAUUAGCUAAAUUGUUUAUGUUAUCUCUUGGUACUGUUACACAUAGCACUAGUACACAAAAAUACGAAAUCGGUUUUUAAAAAUAGGAAAAAAGAUUUUAAUACAGGGAAGGCCCAUUGUCGAGAGCGUCGAGGUGACAUAAUUGGUGCAAUUCUUCGAACUGGACGUAUAUAAGGUCAUCUCCACAGAAGUAGUGAUGUUGUCUAAUAUGAACAGAAAUCCAAUUAUCUUCCCUUUAGACGCCUCCAUGCACCACUUGUUUAUUGCAAACAUCUGUGUGCCGAGCUCAUGUAAACGCUGAGGGUUGAAUAGACUCCUGCCCGGUUCAUAUCUUGCUAUCCAUUGAUCAACUACCUCAGCUUUUUCAAAUGUUUGACAUCCAAUAAUGGUGGCAAUGUCUUCAAUAUUUAAACCGCUCUGUCCAAAGUAAUGCUCAAGUGAAUCUAGCUCAGACAACGCUAAGGAUUUCUUUGGCAUCAAGUCUUCAUUUGAGCCGUAUUGAUUUGGCACAAUCAAAGGGGGCACCGGUUUUGAUACUUCUCCGAGCUGUGGGACCCCCUUUCCUACUCUCUUUCUAGGCUGUGAAGACUUGAUGUUGGUAUUUCUUAGCGAUGCAACCAAUUAUCCGCAAGCGCACGGAAGUACCAUUGUAGCACUUCACCCGGUGGUAUUCAGGGUAUCGAGAUUUCACAGGGAACAGAGGUGUUUUGAGACUUAAACUAAGUGUACCCUAGAGUAAAGUGAGAGGGAUGACAUAGGUAGUGAGGUUCUCCUAAUGGUAGAAGUUUUGUGCAAGGCAACGUGCUUUUCUAAUCUUACUUCGGGCACCGGAGCGUACCUAGUCUGCUAGGUAAUACCGGCGUGUAGCUCAACGCCGUAUCCGGACGUGGGGGAAACUAAGGACAAAUAGGGCUGUCACCACCUGCUGCCGACCCCUCAACCGUGGGAUACGAGGCAAACGAGGGUAACCUCUAACCUAGACACCACGUCUACGUUAUUAGCUACUACUCUAGCGUUGCGCAGGUCCUCCCGCCAGCCAGCAAGAGUCCCUCUACUAGAGUAUCGACCGAGAGAUAGACAACGAACCCGCAAGAUUAUAAGAACACGAUAACGAUUACUCAAUAACUUCUUAGAACAAAAGAAGAAUACAAUCUUUUCUUACCCCAAUAUGGUAUUCCAGGUGGUAGAGGUACAGCUCGGAAAGCGGGCAGCACUUCGGCCCUUCCGCCCAGUGCAACUAGUGGAACGGACCGGGUGCUUGCUACUUCUCUUACUCUACACUCUAACUCACUCUCCUAUUCUAUUCCUAACUAGAGGCUAAGGAUAUGAGUGGAAGCUCCGCCUCUCUACUACUACUCUUGUAUCUCUCUUUAUUCUUGUGGACUUGAAGCUUGAAUGGAUUGAAUGAUGACAGGCCCUCUCCCCCUUCUUGUAUAGGUGUGGAAGGUCGGUUUGGGAGGGGGUAAACUGCAAAAUGCAGCUGGGAACCGCGCUAGGGCUUCGCAUGCACCGCCUCUGCAAAAGGCGAUGGGGAGCUGGGCCAGGCCGGGGUCGGCCGACCCUAGGGGGCGGCCGCCCCCUGGCUGGCUCCGUUGGCCCAGGCCCAAAGCCCAGACGAUGCUCCUCAGCCUUCUGAGUUUGAAUCCAAUUGCAUUUCGAUGCACUUCUGUAUUUGAAUGAAAUGUGCCUUCAAUUCUUUGAUUUUGGUGGCUCAAACCCUAGUGUCCUGCAUACACAUGUGUUCACCAAAACUGUGGAAUUUGGUCAGCAUAAAAACCCAUAUUUCUAAUGUUUGGUGAUAUUUUAUAGAGUUUGUAUGCAUGUUGGCGGUAUGAAAAGUGUAUUUUAAGAAACGCCAACACUUGACUAGAGACCGCUCAUAGUCCGAAAGUGCUGGCUUUUUUUUUAGCUUCCUGCUGCUUCUUUUGCUGGUCCGCCACCUUCUUCCUCAGUUCCUCUGGCUUUACAUAAAAGUAUGGCUUUUCUAGGUUUAGCCGCUUUUCCUUUCCUCCUUCAAUUUAUCAAAAAAUUCUUUCACCUCUGCUUUGGACGUAGCAAUUACGUCCUAUUCAAUCUUUUCAUAAGGUAAUUUCUCCGAUGUCUUAGCUUUCUUUGCUGAGGCAACCUUCUUUGGAGGUGGGACCGAUGACUUCGGUCGUUCUUGGGUGACCGCUUCUGAGUACCUCGCUUUGGAGGCGAUGGGACCGAUCGUGUACUCUUUGGAGAGGGCGGUGUAGGCGGUGGAGGUGGUGGGGCCGAUCUUUUUGGUGUUGGAGAACGCGGUGGAGGAGUUGGAGACCUCGGUGGAGGAGGUGGAGACCGUGGUGGAGUCGGUGGCGGGGUCGGUGUGGCCGCCGCAGGUGUUGGAGGAGAUCCAGCAUUGUCACCGCCCGUAGCUCUAUGAUGCGCUGGGGAAAGAACUGGACUUAGGUUGGAGGAGUCCCUGCAAAGAAAACAAUUACAAGUUUUGUGAGUAAAUUUUUUUUAAAUUCAAUACAUAUUAAAUAAUAUAAGAAGUAAAAUCACGCACAAACCUAUGGCGAGGAAUAAUUAUGAAGCGCUUGCGCCAACAAAUAAACGUCUUCUCAGCUUCACCUAAGGUCUUCUCUCCGUCUCCCCCUUCUAUCUGACAAAAUUCUACGAGUUUUGGUGUUUGUCUAUUUCUGCAGGGGGUUAUCAGGAAAUACGGAGGAAAGGCCCACACGUCGGGUUUACAUAGAGACAUUAACGUGCCGCGCAAUUUUCUAUCAUCUAGAAGACUCUAUAAGCCACGGGAACAAAGCGGAGGCAGACCGGGGCCUGGCCCAGGGCGCCCGCCCUAGAGACCAGGGCGCCCGCCCACCUUCUGUGCCCAAUCAGGGUCAACUUUGCGGAUCGUGCUCCACCGACCUAAGGGAUCAAGGAAAACUGUGCGAUUAAUGUCGGUUUGAUCUGACAGCCCAGAUUCAUCUGAAAAGACUAUAUAAGCAAGGCCCCCUGGCCCCUGGAGAACAUACCUCUUCUACAGAAUCAAAGCUAGGGUUUCAAAUCUUCAUCCAAGUAGAGAGGAUCCCUCUAGUUCAUCUAGUUCUAGUUCUAGAUCCUCUAGUUCUAGUUCUAGUUAGUUCUAGUUGUAAUCUAGAAAAUAGAGAGAAAGAAGAGGAGAGCGGGGGAGGAGCCAGGUCUGUCGGAUCUUCCUCAACAUUGUACUUUUGUAGCAACUGGUUCGUUCUUCAUCGUUCUCUAGGUUCUUCAAUUCAUAAUUCCUAAGUUCUUUAAUUACUUUUAUUUACAUUCAAGUUAUUUAUUGGAUUCCCCCUUGCAUCAAGUGCUCUAGUCUUUAUAACGUUAGAGUAGUAAUUAAUAGAUUAGACGUGGUGUUUAGUCUUGCAAUUACCUAGAAUUGCACCCAAUACUGCGGAUUGUUGUGGUAGCCCUAGGGUAGUGACAGCCCUAACGGUCGACGUAUUCCACCUCGUUCGGAUCGGUGUUUGUAGGACCGUAGUCAGAGCUUCCAAGCCCCCAUCUCAUCUCUUUCUAUGGUUAGUGUUCUGAUGUCCUGAAAUAAAUAAUCUUUGAAGUAAUUCUUGAUUCUUAGAUCAACUAGAGAACUCUCAGAAAACUUCCUCUCUUCCCACCAAAAAUAAUUAUAUAGUUAUCCUUGGGCGAUCUUGAAUCUUAAUUAGUACACUCACGUUCCCUGUGGAAAAUCGAUACUCUAGAAUACUCCCGGGUGAAGGCUACAUCGGUAUCUGUGCGCUUGAGGAUUUUUCUGUUUUUUCGUUUAAAAUACCCAACAAGCUUUCUGGCGCCGUUGCCGGGGAACGGUAGCUGUGCUAGUUUCAAACCAAGUCGUUCGUGUAUCCUUUUUCUUUUCCUUUUUUACCACACUCACGUUACCAUUUUCACCACACCACAUGGAUUUCACUCCAACCAUUAAUGAGCAUGGAAUUUAUUUCAUAGCGACUUCAUUUACUCCAUGCUCAUAUGUAACAUCUUCCCAAUCCAUUGGUCUCUCCAACAUCACCACAUUCGAGAUCUCCAACCCCCUCUUCCUUUCUAUUUAUAAAAACUUUAAAAGGGCGGUUGUCGAUGCAUAUGUCUAUUUUAAAUAUUGCAGAUCUCAUUGAGUUGAUCUUGAUAUAGGUCAGCAUUGGAGGGGAAACCACUUCGCCGACAUAAAUUGAUGGUUUCCCAAGGACAAGUUUAGUGUCCUAAAAUAAGCACUGAUCAGAUCGUAACAUGAGCUUUUAAUUAUUUGCAACAUUACCUUGUGUAUUGAGGAUAUUAGGAUAAUUGUGAAAAAUUCCUUCGGGUAUUCUUGUCACUAACCUUUCUAGGAUUAGAGCAAGAAGAUCGGAUGAAUGACAAGCACAAGGUAUGUCCAACCAAUCAUCAUACAACAUUGAAUUAAAUACAUCCAAACUUGAAUUUUGCAAAAUUCAAGCUUUAGGGAGUACUUUACAUAAAAACAUCCCUUGUUAUGUUGCUAUGUUGGUUGUUCCUACCUUUGAGACAUGCUCAAUUUGUUAAAUACUAAUCACACUACUUCAUCUCCACUUGAGUAGAACUCUAUAAAUGCUCUCAUGCUACCUUUAUUUGCUUUAGUAUAUGUCUAGGUUUGGAGUAGUUUCAUUUAUCUCUUAAUUAAGCAUGGUGCUUAGUUAGGAAUGUUGAUCUUACUUCCAAGGGAUUUUAAAUUACGCAUGGUGCUUAGGUUAAAAUGCCCUCCUAAAUCAAAUUAGACAUGGUGUCUAGGUUGAUCUUUGAGCCGAUAGUAUGCUAUAGUAGAGAUUGGAUAUUUUGUUGGACUCACCCCUGCAGAAAAACUUUCAAUAUCGACCUGGGAAGUCCUGAGAUAAAGUCACAUUAGAGACAAAGAGAGAGACGCAUGAAGGUUAACAAUUUACACAAGGAAGGCAUAGCUCACAAGAGAUGAUCCAUGGAGGGUGCCACAAACACGAUGCACAACCGCUAAGAAAGGAAAGCUUCCACAAGGUGAUACUGUACCAUCACUCUUCAAGUAAGGUAACAUCUUAAGGUACUUGACUAUCAUUUUUAUAAGCUUCUCCUUGGUUCUGACAUUCACAUGGAUAAAAGAGACAAACAUGUAUCAUUUACAACUCUAGAUUAACCAACCCAAUCGAUUCAAUAUGUUUAGUCCUUCCACCGUUGUGAUCCCACACUCCUAAUCAUACGAGCUAAAAUGUUGCACACGUAAUCUUUAGAAGAUAUAUAAAAAACAACAUAAAAAUAGAUAGAUUAUCUUUCCAUUAGGUUGAGUGAUCUGAUCUAACAAAUGUUUUAAAUGCUACACUCAUGAUCUUAUUAUCCAUCAACUUUGUCUUGCUCACUAUGCUUAAGGUUAGAGAAGAACAAAUACACUUUUGGUUCUGUUGGUGUUUUCUGCCAACAGGGCCCAUGCACUUGAUCUCUGCCUUGUCUCUAUGAGCAGGUACACUUCGAACAAAAUAUGAAGGACUUUUACAACUCCUAGACUCCACCAAGUGAAGAAUCUAGAUCUACGAGCACAAACACACUAGAGAUACUGGACACUCAGGCAAUCACUGCCCUGAGAUGCUUGAGGACUUAAACUACACCAACAACAACAACAAUAACAACAACAACAACUACUACUACAACCGUCCUCAACAAAAUCAAGAGAGGCGAUCCAAGACGCCCCGUCAUCCCGAUCUCCAUCGGCAUGGUGGACUUCCCAGAAGCACUCUGCAACUUUGGCUCCAGCGUCAACAUUAUGCCCAGGGUACUCUAUGAAAAAUUCUUUACACAUCCUUUAUGAGAAACAACUAUGUAUUUGCAGCUUGCAGAUCGAACACUAAGUUUCCCAAAGGGAAUAUUGAAGAACCUCUACGUCUGAGUUGGUACCUUAUACGCUCCAGCAGACUUCGUGGUGAUAGAGACUGAUACUGAUGAGAGGGCACCCAUCAUCCUAGGGAGGCCAUUCCUGAACACCUCGGGAGCUGUCAUCUACGCUAGUGCUGCCAAGAUUAGUGUCUACAUCAAGGGGAAGAAGGAGACGUUUUCCUUUGAGAACAAGAUUACACAAAUCUCAGAGCAAUCUCGACAUGAACCAAGGAAGAGGAACAACAGGAGGAACAAGCAAAUGUGGACCGAGUCAGCUAAGAUGGUCACUGUAGUUCAAGGAGGUCAAGAUCGUCGACUUAAAUCACCGUUCCUGGCCAAAAAGGACGACUCAGGUAUCCCAAGCAUCCAGUGCUCCAUUAAUGGAUACAACUUCUAGAAGACGCUUUGCGACACCGGGUCAACCGUCAACAUAAUGGCCGCAGUCACCUAUCUGCUCCUGUUUGGAACCAUGCCCCUAAAAUCGACAUACAUUCAGCUCCAGAUGGCAGAUCAAACAUUCCGAAAGGUUGAAGGUAUAGUAACUAAUGUCCCUGUCAAAAUAGAUGAUCAUUCAGGUUAUUGACAUGGGAGAAGACGAGUACGAUCCACCCAUCAUCCUUGGGAGACCGUUCCAGAGCACCGUUAAAGCAAUCAUCUACAUUGGAACCAGAGAAGUCCACAUGCACUUCCCCUCUGAGAAGGUACACCGCUAUUUUACUGACCCUAACUAUAUAGUUGAAGACUCUAAGCAGGUCCGGACAAGAAGAAGAUGACGCAACCGCAACCAGAGGAGGCAAAUCAUCAAGGACGGAUGGGCAGACUACGAAGAAGAAGUGAUAAGGUCUGAAGACAUACAACUUCAAUAGAACUGUCCUGAGGAGACCGUAGCACUGAGUCAGGUGUGUAGAGAGAAGAUAGUUAUACAUGAAGAGUAGGCGCCACCGGAACCACCGACUACGCCAUCCAGCGAAUCCCAGGACGAUUGAGAAAACAGAGAGUCCCGUUCGGAGGACUUAAAAACACCGAACGCCUUGCCAAGAGGUAAACUUGGUAGUUAUCCUUUUCCUUUCAAUUAUUUAAAAUAGUUUGCUUAGUUAAUCAGGUCCAUAUCAUCUUGAAAAGAAAAUAAAAAUGUUAAAAAUAGUAAGCCCCAUAUGAGUAUGCUCAUGACAUAAAACCCAUAACUACAUUCACUAUGGUGGCAUAAACAUAAAAUAAAUAUAUUCCUGUCCUACAAAAAUGAAAAUAUAAAAAUAAAUUUAUGAUCCUACCAAAGAGAGUAAUAUUUAUUAGAGGAAGUUCAACAUGAAAAUGGCUAAGAGAUUUUAUGCUAACACUUAACCAGUUCCACAAAGCUUUGUUGUCUAUUUGAGCUCCACAGAAUUCAAGGAUCAAAGAAAACUAGCAGACGGAGGACAUCCUAAUCGUUGUCAGGGUGCUGCCGACAUUCAAAUACAACUCCGCCACCUGCUAACUACAUCAGGAGAAAUUACAUCAAAAUCCAACUUGGGGGAGAGCACCCCAAUUUAUCCAGCUAAGUGUUCUACUCAUGUUUAUACUUUACUCAAAUAAUAAAAAGAUGCAUAAUCAUAAAAACCAAAAUAAAGAUUUUGUGCUCAUAUAUCUUUGCUUAGUUUGCUAAAUAAAUAAAUAAAUAAAGUUUGCUAUGAACCCUCAUGAUAAGCUCUCACAUGGAAAUGAUGAAUAGUUGCUCUGCCAUGACUAGUUCUCAAAAUUGAAUUCUCCCUCAAGUUUAGGCAUGACUGUUAUGAAUUAAGAUUUGCUCUAAACCUGAACUUAUGGGAAGAGUACUUGAUCUAAAGUCUAAGUCGUUAACGGAUAUGAUAUGGGAAGGUUGAGCUGCUGUUUAUCUACUCCUAGAGAUGCUAGAAUUCUGGAGAAUUUUAUCUUUGAAAAUCUUUAAAAUGUUGCAUGAUGAGUUCCUCUAUGAUGAGAGUUUAAAAUCCUACCAUAGCCAUAUAUACAUGCUUAUUAGACUAUGAACCAUACAUUUACUUUUUACUGCUUAUGAGCAUUGAGUGUGGUCAAGCUGUGGACCCUUAGGAGCUUGUCAUGUGGUUAAAUCAAGAUUCACUUGCACGUUCACUCACACAUGCUGCUUCUACUCCGGAAGUACGCAUCCACAUACAUCCACCCAUUUCCAUAUCUAGAUUCACCCAAAAAUAUUCUACUCCUAAUCCAGGAGAGAAUAGCCAAAAACAUUCUCCUUUUUCUGUUUUCCCCUGUGAAAUAAAUGCUCAAGAUAUUUCGGUUACUACCACUUGCUACAUUAUUUAAGGAGGGUGAGUGCUCUGAAAAAAAAAGUGAAUACGAGGAAAUAAAAAGAGGCAAGUGCUCGAAAGCUCGAAGAAAAAAAAGUGAGACGAGAGGUAAAAAUGGACAAGUGUCGGACAGUAGAAUUAGAGGUACAGGAUACCCACCCGAGAGAAAAGAAAAAUAAAAUAUAGAGCAUCUCAUUCCCCUCAAAAGCCUCAAGUGGAAGGAAGGUAUGUACCCCAUCAAAAGAGCAAAAGUAGAAUUAGACUUUCACCAUUAUUUUCACCAUUAUCACCAUCAUCACCAUACACCAUUGAUUAGCCACACAUGGUUUGACUAUGCAAUAAAUGUCUUGUAAGUAUGUAUUAGCUGUCUCCCUCCUACGAGCUCCAGAUAUCAAAACCUUAUUAGAGUAGGGUGAGAGAGAAGGCAAUGCCACUAUGCCUCAUACCAAAAAUACCACAUACUUUGAGAGAAGGCAUACACCAUUACUGCGUUGGUAAGGAUCCAGAAAUACCAUAAAAGAGAGACUAGAGAGAGUCAUACAAGGAAUCUCUGAGUUUUAUUUGAAAAUCUGCAAAAACUCCAGAGCUAUAGUUAAUCGAAGAACAAGAGACAUGGCGCUUGACUAGACCGUUCUAUCUUUUAACUACUCAAGACACAAAUGAUGGUUGCAAGCCCCAUUUUGGAAGGUAAAAUGAGUAAGUUUAAAUCCUAACAGUUUACCCUAACUCAGGGAUGAGAUCUUGUUUAAAUGCAUCUGUACCUUUAAGGCAUGAAACCACUGUAGAAACUCUUGAAUUCAUCUUUGCUCAGGGACGGGCAAAGGUUAAGCUUCGGGGAGCAUGUUGACGGUCCAUAAUGCUCACAUUUAACCGUCAACUAAUCAUGGAAAAGGAUCCAAAUGCAACCAACACCCAGACUUAGGGUUUUAUCUAACAGAAUUCUAUGAGUUUUGGUGUUUGUCUAUUUCUGUAGGGGGUUAUCAGGAAAUACGUUGGAAAGGUCCACACGUUGGGUUUACAUAGAGACAUUAACGUGUCGCGCAAUUUUCUAUCAUCUAGAAGACUCUAGAAGCCACGGGAACAAAGCGGAGGCAAAACGGGGCCUGGCCCAGGGCGCCCACCCUAGAGACCAGGGCGCCCGCCCACCUUCUGUGCCCAAUCAGGGUCAACUUUGCGG
rnacentral:lncRNA from 1 species